GACUGAAACGUUGGGAGAAUAAGUAGCCGAAAAUUUCUUUUUCCAUUCGUUGAGUUUGGAUUCGGUUCAAAAUUAUGGCCGCUAACAAGACCUUCAUUAUUAAACGGCUCCUUGGCAAAAAACAAAAGCAGAACCGUCCCAUCCCACAAUGGGUGCGCAUGAAGACUGGAAACAAAAUCCGGUACAAUGCUAAACGUCGUCACUGGCGAAGAACCAAGCUUGGAUUGUAAGCGACCUUUAACGGGUGACCUUACCUAAUACACCAGACACCUGAUA